rnacentral:lncRNA from 1 species
AGGAGGCGGGCAGGGCAUUCAGGGAUCUGGUCUGAUGGGAAUCCAUGAUGUCAUUGGCCUUCCCCCUUGAUUGAGUAACUAUAGAGGACAAAAGAGGAAAGGCCCACCCCCUCACUUGUGCUGUCAUGACAUACCUGGACCACCUAUUGCGAUGUUACUUUUGUUAAGUCUUAAAUGAGGUGAAAAGGAGACUGGAGGGCCACUUUAAAGUUGUUUAUUUUGAUGGUGAAGAUGUUUUGAAACAUUUAUGGUGUCUUUUUUUCUGAAUGAGCAGUCAUUUCAAAUGUGGACAUUUGGGUAAUAUUUGGUUGAGACAUUGAUCAAUGAGAUUUCAACCUUUAUUCACCCACUCAAAAAGACAGCCAACUGUUUUUUAUUUUUUAUUUAGGUACUUUAGAGAUUGAAAACUAUACUUGACUAAUAAAUCAACUCCAUUUAAAUAUUGGAGCAGUUGCCAUUUUGUGAUGUAGGGCUCUUUACAUAACCCUAGGCUGAGCUAAGAAUAGGAAAACAAGCUAGGACUAGGACCUUUCUGAUGUUGCACACUCUUGAAAAGUACCCUGAUAUGAAUAAUACAAUUCUUCUCACGGUGCAAAAUGUAUCUUCCAGAUUUAGGGUCUAUAUUACUGUAGGCUAUUGUCAUUCUGUGUAACACAGUUAGAGCUGUAGCUUUGAACAGCAUUGUGUAAACCUUUGUCCAUGUAAAAACAAAUACAAAAAAAAUAAAUGUAAAAGCCGAUAAAAAAAUAAAAUAUAUAAGCCAAAAAAUUAAUUUCUGCCACAGGCUUCUGGAAACCAAAAUCAGAUAUACAAUAAACCAAAAAAAUGCACUGUCAGAACAGGCUUUGAUGCUUUAACUUCUUAAGAACUCUCAUUGGCCCUCCCACUGGCCCCCUUGCGGCCAGGUGCAUAUUUCAGGCAGGUUGACAUCGCCUGUAAUAUAUCUGCCUCUGUAGCCUUUGAUUCGCCAAGACUCAUACAUGCUGUAAAGGGGGAAAACAAGUAUUAGCUUGAGAAGGUAUUCAAAUGUCAUGUAAAAGGUCAUGAUUUGUACUCCACUGUACCUAUAAUGACACUGCAAAUGUUGGAGUCCUCAAAGGCCCUUUUCCAUUUGUUACCUUUCAUAGUCGUUGUUGACAUGAGGCCAUUUGUCAGGGUUCUGUAUAGAACACAAGGCCGUUUGUCAGGGUUCUGCAUAGAACACAAGGCCGUUUGUCAGUGUUCUGUAUGGAAGAAAAAAUAUGUACUUUACAUAUAUACACACCACAACUUAUUUUAAAAGUGAAACAAAUAUCGUAAUAGUUUACCAAUGCAUUGUUCUCUUC